UACGGGGGGUGCGAGCGUUGUCCGGAAUCACUGGGCGUAAAGGGCGCGUAGGUGGCGUCGUAAGUCUGUGGUGAAAGCCCGGAGCUCAACUCCGGAACUGCCAUUGAAACUGUGAGACUUGAGGAUGAGAGAGGUGAGUGGAAUUCCCAGUGUAGAGGUGAAAUUCGUAGAUAUGGGGGAGGAACACCGGUGGCGAAGGCGGCCACCUGGACGGUAACUGACGCUGAGACGCGAAAGCGUGGGGUAGCAAACAGG
rnacentral:rRNA from 1 species